rnacentral:rRNA from 1 species
GUGUCAGCAGCCGCGGUAAUACGGAGGGGGUUAGCGUUGCUCGGAAUUGCUGGGCGUAAAGCGCACGUAGGCGGAUCAGAAAGUUGGGGGUGAAAUCCCGGGGCUCAACCCCGGAACUGCCUCCAAAACUUCUGGUCUGGAGUUCGAGAGAGGUGAGUGGAGUUCCGAGUGUAGAGGUGAAAUUCGUAGAUAUUCGGAGGAACACCAGUGGCGAAGGCGGCUCACUGGCUCGAUACUGACGCUGAGGUGCGAAAGUGUGGGGAGCAAACAGGAUUAGAUACCCUGUAGUCCACACCGUAAACGAUGAAUGCCAAUCGUCGGCGCGCAUGCGUGUCGGUGACACACCUAACGGAUUAAGCAUUCCGCCUGGGGAGUACGGUCGCAAGAUUAAAACUCAAAGGAAUUGGCGGGG